CAGGGCCUUGGGUUUACAAUUUUGGAGUUUGGUCUCAUUCACAGCUCGCGGCAAUAACAAUCGAAUCUCUCAUUUGUCGCUUCUUUUUAUGCUCUCCUUCUUUUUGAAACUGUUAAGCAGUUUGUGUUUUUCAAUUUUGGUUAGGGUUGGUUUUUGAUGGCCGGGGGAGAAGAAAACCGUAUAUUUGUGGGAAAUUUUUCUUGGGACACCACAGAGAGGGGCCUCGAGAAUGCGUUUCGCCGAUACGGGGAAGAUCAUCGACUCUUUGGCCGAGGGCGAAAGAAUGGGAGAGCAGCUGCGAACCGCCGAGGCUCGAAUUGCAGAGCUCGCCCACAUGCUGCGAUUCGCGUACGAGGUGAUGCGGUCAAGGCAGCGAAGGAGGCGGCCAAAGCAAGGCUCGCGCUGAAAUAGCAGAACAGGCAUUGGCCACAGCUCAUCCUCAGGAGGCAGCUGAGCUGCAGUGCUGAGGCGGGUUGAGGCCGCAUUCGCUUCUUCAUAGAAGUUUACUCUAAAAAUUUUGAUUUUGUAAUUAUUUGGUUAAAAUUUUACAUUUAUAAAAUUCUGUCUACGAAAA